AGAGAGAGACAUGCGCGCAUAUCAAUAAGCGGAGGAAAAGAAACUAACAAGGAUUCCCUUAGUAACGGCGAGUGAAGCGGGAAGAGCUCAAAUUUGAAAUCUUCAAGGUUUUACCUUGACGAAUUGUAGUUUAAAGAAGUGUUUUCUGCUGAAGUUUUGGUAAAAGUUCUUUGGAAUAGGACAUCAUAGAGGGUGAGAAUCCCGUAUUUGACCAUUAUUUUCCAGCUUUGUGAUACACUUUCAAAGAGUCGGAUUGUUUGGGAAUGCAGUCCAAAAUGGGUGGUAAAUUUCAUCUAAAGCUAAAUAUUGGCGAGAGACCGAUAGCGAACAAGUACCGUGAGGGAAAGAUGAAAAGAACUUUGAAAAGAGAGUUAAACAGUACGUGAAAUUGUCAAAAGGGAAGCGUUUGACACCAGUGUUGUUUUCUCGAAAAUCAAUUAAAAAAUGGCUAGAUUUUGUAUUGUAUUGACCUUAAUCAGCUUCACUGCUACAUCUUUUCGUGUCUUUUUUAAUGCACUUUUCGUUUAACAAGUCAACAUCAGUUUCUUUUGUUGUAAAAGGGUCAUUGGAAGGUGGCUUUCUUUUCGGAGAAAGUGUUUAUAGCCUUUGGCCUCUGCAAUCGGAGAGAUUGAGGUCUGCAGCGUAGAUCCUUCGGGGUUAGAUACAUUUGUGCUAAGUUAUAGCCUUUUCAUAGACAACUUGUUGACUAUAAUCAGUCAUGUAGCUUACUCGCUUAUGCUAUUUUACCUACGCUUAGGAUGUUGAGUCGUAGAGCACGCAG
rnacentral:rRNA from 1 species